rnacentral:rRNA from 1 species
GUUGAACGCUGGCGGCAGGCCUAACACAUGCAAGUCGAGCGGAGCGGCGGACGGGUGAGUAAUGCCUAGGAAUAUACCUGGUAGUGGGGGAUAACGUCCGGAAACGGGCGCUAAUCCCACAUCCUAUUAGCUGAGCCUAGGUCGGGUUAGCUAGCUGGGGGGGUAAAGGCUUACCAAGGCGACGAUCCGUAGCUGGUCUGAGAGGAUGAUCAGUCACACUGGAACUGAGACACGGUCCAGACUCCUACGGGAGGCAGCAGUGGGGAAUAUUGCACAAUGGGCGAAAGCCUGAUCCAGCCAUGCCGCGUGUGUGAAGAAGGUCUUCGGAUUGUAAAGCACUUUAAGUUGGGAGGCGUUACCAACAGAAUAAGCACCGGCUAACUUCGUGCCAGCAGCCGCGGUAAUUC